GCCACGGUGGUCUAGCUGUUAGAACGCUGGCCUUGUAAUCCUGGAGUCUCGGGUUCGAUUCCCGGCGGUGCCC
rnacentral:tRNA from 1 species